UACGAAGGGGGCUAGCGUUGCUCGGAAUUACUGGGCGUAAAGCGCACGUAGGCGGUCUUUUAAGUCGGGGGUGAAAUCCUGGAGCUCAACUCCAGAACUGCCUUCGAUACUGGAAGACUUGAGUCCGGGAGAGGUGAGUGGAACUGCGAGUGUAGAGGUGAAAUUCGUAGAUAUUCGCAAGAACACCAGUGGCGAGGGCGGCUCACUGGCCCGGUACUGACGCUGAGGUGCGAAAGCCAGGGGAGCAAACGGG
rnacentral:rRNA from 1 species